AACGCAAAUGGCGCUCUCGGGAUAGGCCUGAGAGCACGUGUCUUUGAGCAUCGAUUAAACAAACCCUCGACGGCGUGCUUUGUGAAAACGAGGCGCGCGCAGUCGGAAUUUGAGUCUUCUCGUUCGCACGAGUGACUUUAAAUGCAGCGAGCUGUGGGUCUUUGCGGGUGUUUGAGAGGUUCGUCCUUUCAUAGCCUUGCGCAAUUGGGCAACUGCCUUUAACUGGCACGAGUCGCUAGCUAUGUGGAUAAUUUCACAAACUCUGUGAAUCUUCCCAAACAUGGUUAGGUCAGACGGAACCAGGGCUUUUGACCGGCGCUUGUGCGACAAGCACUGCUCAGCUCACAGUGGACCUGUUUGCUGUGCUCGUAUGAGUGCAACAAACACUUUACUUGAAUUAGAUCUCAAAUGAGACGAGAAUACCCGCCGAACUUAA
rnacentral:misc_RNA from 1 species